rnacentral:rRNA from 1 species
GAUGAACGCUGGCGGCGUGCCUAAUACAUGCAAGUCGAGCGAACGGACGAGAAGCUUGCUUCUCUGAUGUUAGCGGCGGACGGGUGAGUAACACGUGGAUAACCUACCUAUAAGACUGGGAUAACUUCGGGAAACCGGAGCUAAUACCGGAUGAUAUUUUGAACCGCAUGGUUCAAAAGUGAAAGACGGUCUUGCUGUCACUUAUAGAUGGAUCCGCGCUGCAUUAGCUAGUUGGUAAGGUAACGGCUUACCAAGGCAACGAUGCAUAGCCGACCUGAGAGGGUGAUCGGCCACACUGGAACUGAGACACGGUCCAGACUCCUACGGGAGGCAGCAGUAGGGAAUCUUCCGCAAUGGGCGAAAGCCUGACGGAGCAACGCCGCGUGAGUGAUGAAGGUCUUCGGAUCGUAAAACUCUGUUAUUAGGGAAGAACAUAUGUGUAAGUAACUGUGCACAUCUUGACGGUACCUAAUCAGAAAGCCACGGCUAACUACGUGCCAGCAGCCGCGGUAAUACGUAGGUGGCAAGCGUUAUCCGGAAUUAUUGGGCGUAAAGCGCGCGUAGGCGGUUUUUUAGGUCUGAUGUGAAAGCCCACGGCUCAACCGUGGAGGGUCAUUGGAAACUGGAAAACUUGAGUGCAGAAGAGGAAAGUGGAAUUCCAUGUGUAGCGGUGAAAUGCGCAGAGAUAUGGAGGAACACCAGUGGCGAAGGCGACUUUCUGGUCUGUAACUGACGCUGAUGUGCGAAAGCGUGGGGAUCAAACAGGAUUAGAUACCCUGGUAGUCCACGCCGUAAACGAUGAGUGCUAAGUGUUAGGGGGUUUCCGCCCCUUAGUGCUGCAGCUAACGCAUUAAGCACUCCGCCUGGGGAGUACGACCGCAAGGUUGAAACUCAAAGGAAUUGACGGGGACCCGCACAAGCGGUGGAGCAUGUGGUUUAAUUCGAAGCAACGCGAAGAACCUUACCAAAUCUUGACAUCCUCUGACCCCUCUAGAGAUAGAGUUUUCCCCUUCGGGGGACAGAGUGACAGGUGGUGCAUGGUUGUCGUCAGCUCGUGUCGUGAGAUGUUGGGUUAAGUCCCGCAACGAGCGCAACCCUUAAGCUUAGUUGCCAUCAUUAAGUUGGGCACUCUAAGUUGACUGCCGGUGACAAACCGGAGGAAGGUGGGGAUGACGUCAAAUCAUCAUGCCCCUUAUGAUUUGGGCUACACACGUGCUACAAUGGACAAUACAAAGGGUAGCGAAACCGCGAGGUCAAGCAAAUCCCAUAAAGUUGUUCUCAGUUCGGAUUGUAGUCUGCAACUCGACUACAUGAAGCUGGAAUCGCUAGUAAUCGUAGAUCAGCAUGCUACGGUGAAUACGUUCCCGGGUCU